rnacentral:rRNA from 1 species
GGUUUAAUUCGAAGCAACGCGAAGAACCUUACCAGGUCUUGACAUCGAUCUAAAAGGGAUGGAGACAUCCUCAUAGCUAUAGAGAAGACAGGUGGUGCAUGGUUGUCGUCAGCUCGUGUCGUGAGAUGUUGGGUUAAGUCCCGCAACGAGCGCAACCCCUGUCGCCAGUUACCAUCAUUAAGUUGGGGACUCUGGCGAGACUGCCUCUGCAAGGAGGAGG